UCAAAAUGGGAUAACACUUGGAAACAGGUGCUAAUACCGUAUAACAAUCGAAACCGCAUGGUUUUGAUUUGAAAGGCGCUUUCGGGUGUCGCUGAUGGAUGGACCCGCGGUGCAUUAGCUAGUUGGUGAGGUAACGGCUCACCAAGGCCACGAUGCAUAGCCGACCUGAGAGGGUGAUCGGCCACAUUGGGACUGAGACACGGCCCAAACUCCUACGGGAGGCAGCAGUAGGGAAUCUUCGGCAAUGGACGAAAGUCUGACCGAGCAACGCCGCGUGAGUGAAGAAGGUUUUCGGAUCGUAAAACUCUGUUGUUAGAGAAGAACAAGGAUGAGAGUAACUGUUCAUCCCUUGACGGUAUCUAACCAGAAAGCCACGGCUAACUACGUGCCAGCAGCCGCGGUAAUACGUAGGUGGCAAGCGUUGUCCGGAUUUAUUGGGCGUAAAGCGAGCGCAGGCGGUUUCUUAAGUCUGAUGUGAAAGCCCCCGGCUCAACCGGGGAGGGUCAUUGGAAACUGGGAGACUUGAGUGCAGAAGAGGAGAGUGGAAUUCCAUGUGUAGCGGUGAAAUGCGUAGAUAUAUGGAGGAACACCAGUGGCGAAGGCGGCUCUCUGGUCUGUAACUGACGCUGAGGCUCGAAAGCGUGGGGAGCAAACAGGAUUAGAUACCCUGGUAGUCCACGCCGUAAACGAUGAGUGCUAAGUGUUGGAGGGUUUCCGCCCUUCAGUGCUGCAGCUAACGCAUUAAGCACUCCGCCUGGGGAGUACGACCGCAAGGUUGAAACUCAAAGGAAUUGACGGGGGCCCGCACAAGCGGUGGAGCAUGUGGUUUAAUUCGAAGCAACGCGAAGAACCUUACCAGGUCUUGACAUCCUUUGACCACUCUAGAGAUAGAGCUUCCCCUUCGGGGGCAAAGUGACAGGUGGUGCAUGGUUGUCGUCAGCUCGUGUCGUGAGAUGUUGGGUUAAGUCCCGCAACGAGCGCAACCCUUAUUGUUAGUUGCCAUCAUUCAGUUGGGCACUCUAGCAAGACUGCCGGUGACAAACCGGAGGAAGGUGGGGAUGACGUCAAAUCAUCAUGCCCCUUAUGACCUGGGCUACACACGUGCUACAAUGGGAAGUACAACGAGUUGCGAAGUCGCGAGGCUAAGCUAAUCUCUUAAAGCUUCUCUCAGUUCGGAUUGCAGGCUGCAACUCGCCUGCUUGAAGCCUGAAUCGCUUGUAAUCGUGGAUAAGCA
rnacentral:rRNA from 1 species